UUUGUUUAAAACUUUAAUGAUUUAGCCAAUAGCAAACUUUGACCAAAGUAAAUGCAGAAAGUUUUAAAAAACACUCUUUGUUUAUUCAGGACAUAGUGUCUUCAGUUUAAUUGUCUUGAAAUAUACUCUUUGUUCUAGAUUAUUUAAGAAAAUAAAAUCCAUCGAUUUAUAGAAUAAUUAUGAUGACUUAUAUCAUUUGGACCACGAUAUAGAUUUCAUAGAUAGUACUCUUUUCAUGCAUGCCCUCUGGAUUAUGAGGGCGGGUGGAGGGACAUAGCAGGAACAGAAUGUUUUCUAAGGUUUUUAACACUAACUUGAUUUGUCAGUACUUUAAAAAUAUUUGUUGACCACAAUUGCAUGCAAACUUAACAAUUUUAUUUCUAAUAAUUUUCCUCCCAUAAUUGGAAGAUUAAAAUCUCAGGUUUUUUGUUUUCCUUUGUUGUUUUUCAUACAUUCACUGGGCUGGUGAAUUACCAACUAGCAUAGAGAAGUUGUACAUUUGUUUAAAUAAGAUCAGUUUAGUUGUCAUCCUUAAAGAGCUAUCAGCCAAAAUAUGUCUUUCUUUACACAAAGUUAUGUCCCUUAAAUAUUAAAACCAUAAAAACAGAAUGUUUAGAUUAUUAACAUAAUCUGCAAAAUUAGAGAGCUGUACUGAAUAUAGUAGCAGCUGCCAUUUGCUGAGCCUUUUGCUGUGCCUUUUGCUGUUGUAUUGCCUAUUGCUAUUGCAGACUGUGCCUGGCAGUCUGCUAUGCAUUUUACAUGGAGUAUCUCAUUUAACUGUCUGAAAAAUCGAUGAAGUACCUACUUUAUUUUCUCCAUUUUACUGAUAAGAAAACUGAAACUCAGUAAAAGGUGAAUUUAACUAAGAGAGAUAGCAGAAUCUAGCUCUGUAUGAUGCCAGAGCCCAUGUUUAUCACAGUGCUAAACUGCCUCCCUGGGUGACUUACAAGGAUUCUUCCAGGUCUAUGAUUCUGUCUCAUAGUCAUUUAGGAAUGUCAGUUGUAGUUUAUCAAACCCAAAUGGCAUCAAAAAUUAUAAUGAGUUAAAAAAAAGAAAUGUUACUGACUAAAACAGAUCUCAGCACCAGCGGUUCAAAUGUAAAGCUCUAGUGUAAUAACAACAUGAUCCCUUGAAGUUUUCCCAU